CCUACGGGAGGCAGCAGUGAGGAAUAUUGGUCAAUGGGCGGAAGCCUGAACCAGCCAAGUCGCGUGAGGGAAUAAGGCCCUACGGGUCGUAAACCUCUUUUGCCGGGGAGCAAGGGCCGGGACUCGUCCCGGCCCGGAGAGUACCCGGAGACAAAGCAUCGGCUAACUCCGUGCCAGCAGCCGCGGUAAUACGGAGGAUGCGAGCGUUAGCCGGAUUUAUUGGGUUUAAAGGGUGCGUAGGCGGGCUUUUAAGUCAGCGGUAAAAAUUCGGGGCUCAACCCCGUCCGGCCGUUGAAACUGGGGGCGUUGAGUGGGCGAGAAGAAGGCGGAAUGCGUGGUGUAGCGGUGAAAUGCAUAGAUAUCACGCAGAACCCCGAUUGCGAAGGCAGCCUGCCGGCGCCCUACUGACGCUGAGGCACGAAAGUGCGGGGAUCGAACAGGAUUAGAUACCCGGGUAGUC
rnacentral:rRNA from 1 species